rnacentral:rRNA from 1 species
UACUCCUACGGGAGGCAGCAGUGGGGAAUAUUGGACAAUGGGCGCAAGCCUGAUCCAGCCAUGCCGCGUGAGUGAUGACGGCCUUAGGGUUGUAAAGCUCUUUCGACGGGGACGAUAAUGACGGUACCCGUAGAAGAAGCCCCGGCUAACUUCGUGCCAGCAGCCGCGGUAAUACGAAGGGGGCAAGCGUUGUUCGGAAUUACUGGGCGUAAAGGGCGCGUAGGCGGACACUUAAGUCAGGGGUGAAAUCCCGGGGCUCAACCCCGGAACUGCCCUUGAUACUGGGUGUCUUGAGACCGGAAGAGGCAAGUGGAACUGCGAGUGUAGAGGUGAAAUUCGUAGAUAUUCGCAAGAACACCAGUGGCGAAGGCGGCUUGCUGGUCCGGAUCUGACGCUGAGGCGCGAAAGCGUGGGGAGCAAACAGGAUUAGAUACCCUGGUAGUC